GAUGAACGCUGGCGGCGUGCCUAAUACAUGCAAGUCGAGCGAACAGACGAUGAUUUUGCUCCUCGGACGUUAGCCGCGGAGGUGUGAGUAACACGUGUAUAACGUACCUAUAAUACGGAUAUAAUUUCGAGAAACCGGCUCUAAUACCGGAGAAUAUAUUGAACCACGUUGGUGGAUGGUGAGAUACGGUGGUUCGGGCUCGAAUAGAGGGUUCCGCGCCGUAUGAGCUAGUUGUUGCGGUAACAGCUUACCAAGGCAAGGAUGCGUAGACGACGUGAGAGGGUGAUCGGCCACACUGGAACUGAGCCACGGUCCAGACGCCUACGAGAGGGAGCAGUAGGGAAUCUUACGCAAUGGGCGGGAGUCUGACGGAGCGACGGGGCGUGAGUGACGACGGUCUUGGGAUCGUGAAACUCUGUUUUGAGGUAAGAACAAAUUUGUCAGUAACUAUGCACGUAUUGACGGUAACUAAUCAAAAAGCACCGGCUAACUACGUG
rnacentral:rRNA from 1 species